ensembl:lncRNA
GUUGUUCUGUUUUGGCCUGGUACACAUUAUUUAUUAGGGCAAACGCAGCCCACACAGAUCAAAGGACUAUCAUGAGCGAUUUGGCUUGCUUGUCUUUUUAAUGGGGUUUUAUAAAGGGGCUCAUUCAAAAGUCAAAACGGCGUAAGAUGCGAUUUCACGCCUUUUUAGGUUCAUCCUUAAGUGGUCACCAGUACACGAUAACAGCUGUGUGUCAGACGGUGUGUAUGUACGUCUGUUUAUACGCUCUGAGAUGAACGGACACUUGAGCGUCCCCCGGCAAACGAAGCGGGCAGCACGCGCCAGUUUCCGUUCAUCUCUCCGGUUGCUGGGCGCCAAGAUAAACUCACGCUCUGUUUGAGCAGAACACAAUUACAGACGCGCGCGUAAAUAUUUGCUCAGAAAACAGACUCCCCGCGAGCUUUGGGUAUAAAUGAGCAAACCGCUAAUUAUCCAUGACGCGAAACGGACAGCACGACUUCGCGAGCGACAUCCAUAACAUUACACGUAUGACAGCAAGUGUUAUCAGGACACUGAGUAAUCUGGGUAAUCUGGGUUUGGCGAAACCCUUUCCUCCUUGCUUCUUUCCGGCUGAGGAUGAGGAAGAGACUGAAGAAGAAUAUGAAGAGGAUCUGAGAGAGGACAGUUUGGAGGAGGAAGAGGAUGCAGUAGCAAGAGAGUCGCAAGAGGAAGAGCCAUGGAGUUUUGAUUCAUCCCCCAGUAACGGUGAGAUGACCAACCAGCUCCUGCGGUUUGCUGAACUCAUCAGCAACGAUGUCCAGCGCUACUUUGGGCGAAGCCAAGACCCUGAUGCCUGUGACAUUUAUGCAGAGAAACCAUGUCCGAAAGUCGGGGGCCGCCAGCGAUACUAUGCCGACUUCAUCAAAGUAGCAUCAUCAGGGCAGGCGGAGGAGCCUGAGUCGCUCGGGCCCCUUGCAGAGCUCUUUCAAGAUGCUCAAAGGAAAGGGCGGGGUUUACCCAUGAGCCAACGUCACCUGCCAGUCAGCUUCUGGACAGAGCCUUUCGCACAACAACUUGACAUGUUAGGUGAUACAAGCAUGCAAAAUAACUCGCUCAGUAUGAUCAACACAUCAGAGAGCUCCAUUAACAUUAACACAUCAUUGACCAUGUUCAGUAACACGAGCGUUUGCACCAUGACCAGCUCCAGUAUCUCAGGGACUCUCAGUAGCUCAAGCACCCCAGACUUCAGUGAUUUACUUGCUCACUGGGCCAUGGACAGAGAGAAUCCCAAUGAAUUCAACUGUGACUAUCCACUAACAUAAUCAAUCAGCCCAUCUUCCACACAAAAUAUCAUGUUAAUUUGUUCCUGAUACAUUUCUUCUUGUUCGUACUUAGUAGUUUUAAUUUGUUGUAACCUUAUUUUUGUAAACUUAUUUUAUUUUAUUACAUUUUUAAUUUUAUUUUAUAUCUGCUAUUUUUGGCAGUGUAUUAAGUACUGCUUUUUUUUUAAAUACUACUUAGUUUAAUUGAUUAUUCUUACGCUCAAGUUUGUUUUCAUGUAUAAAAAGAGAAUCAUUUUGCUAAAACAUGUAUGCAACAAUUUGCUAUUAAAAUACCCUGUUUGUGAUCAAAAAUGCUUCUAACUCCUGACACACUUACAAGGCAUAAAUAGGUAAGGAAUGAUGUAGUCAGGUCACAGUCACAAAAUAAAUUGCAACAACUGGACCUCA